UGCAGCUCUUGGGGGCUUUUCCCCGAAGAGGGAGAAGGGCAGCCUGUCAGUGAUGGGCUGCCCUUCUCCCUCCUCGGGGAAAGACCCUCAAGCGCCGCGC
rnacentral:miRNA from 1 species